CAGAAUGGAAGCAUACUCUAUGUACUUGCAGAGCUUGAAUUUUAGGAGAACUUUAUCACGUAAUUUGCCCCAUGCCAGAAAAACAGCAGUUAUUACCAGGCUGACGCGAAAAGGCUUUGGCUUGUUGGAUUCAGGAAAACAUGAAAUGGGCCCUGCUCUGGGAUGACUGAUAGGAAACUGGCAUCUGCAUUGACUUCUUGAGCAAUGAGUUUCUUUUGGUAAAACCAAGUUGGCCAGUCCCCGGGUGCUGGUACUACAAAUUUUUUCAAGUAAUGUUCCAGUUGUGGACAGCACAGGAAUAUGUGAUCAAUGGCUGAUUUAUAGUCCUCCAUACUUUUCAAAGAUUGCUCAAACUCAUCUAUUAAAUUAGUAGACUCAAGGGUACAGAGCUCAUCGUGCGACAACCCAGAAUAGACCCUA